rnacentral:piRNA from 1 species
UGCACCCAGCGUAGGGCCUGAAACAGAGU